AUGUACUUCCAGAUCACCUUGUCCAAUAAGGACAACUCACUGAGCUUGUCAUUCACAUAUAGGCAUGCAACUUUGUAUUUGGAGGCAAUGGAAGUCAUGCACAUGGGGGAUGCUAGCGCUGCAUGUUAUGACCACGUCAAUGCUGGUCUCGAUGCUUUGCUGUUAAGUUCGGCACCACUAGCAGAGGUGAGGGACGGUUUGGCUUUCGAGGACCAACUGGCCGUAACGGCAGAUGCAAGGAAGGGUAAGGAAAUAGCAACUGCAAGUGCUGACCAUGACGCGGGGCAUAGCCAGAGUGCUGGCCAGUCUGCUAGCAUAAACAAACUUCAAGGGCUUGGUGCACCUAACAAGCAUAGAGGCGCUGGCAGGCCGACGAACAGUCGGGACAAAGCCACAUACGAAGGUUUAAGCAAGCGCACCAGAUUCUGUAGCAUCUGUCGGUGCGAAGGUCAUAAGAAGACCACGUGCCCGGAAAGGGGUGAUACACCAAAGAAACCACGAAAACCAGCAAAAUGCAAGAAUUGUAGGAUCGAAGGACACCGGCGGAACACUUGCAAGCGGCCGCUUGGUUUGGCUGAGCAAUGA
rnacentral:rRNA from 1 species